rnacentral:rRNA from 1 species
UACGUAGGGAGCAAGCGUUGUCCGGAUUUACUGGGUGUAAAGGGUGCGUAGGCGGCUUUGCAAGUCAGAAGUGAAAUCCAUGGGCUUAACCCAUGAACUGCUUUUGAAACUGCAGAGCUUGAGUGGAGUAGAGGUAGGCGGAAUUCCCGGUGUAGCGGUGAAAUGCGUAGAGAUCGGGAGGAACACCAGUGGCGAAGGCGGCCUGCUGGGCUCUAACUGACGCUGAGGCACGAAAGCGUGGGUAGCAAACAGG